rnacentral:rRNA from 1 species
CCUACGGGAGGCAGCAGUAGGGAAUAUUGCUCAAUGGGCGAAACCCUGAAGCAGCAACGCCGCGUGGAGGAUGAAUGUUUUCGGAUUGUAAAAUCCUUUUGUUAGAGAAGAUAAUGACGGUAUCUAACGAAUAAGCACCGUCUAACAUCGUGCCAGCAGCCGCGGUAAUACGGAGGGUGCAGGCGUUACUCGGAAUCACUGGGCGUAAAGGGCGCGUAGGCGGGAUAGCAAGUCUGAUGUGAAAUCCUAGGGCUUAACCAUAGAAGUGCAUUGGAAACUGUUAUUCUAGAGUAUGGGGGAGGUAGGUGGAAUUCUUGGUGUAGGGGUAAAAUGCGUAGAGAUCAAGAGGAAUACUCAUUGCGAAGGCGACCUGCUAGAACAUAACUGACGCUGAUGCGCGAAAGCGUGGGGAGCAAACAGGAUUAGAUACCCUGGUAGUC